CUCGAGCUACCCUGUAGAAUCCGGGCUUUUGUAGACAUUUUAGGUGUCAGAAGCUCGUUUCUACAGGUUUCUUGUUA
rnacentral:pre_miRNA from 16 species